UUAAUGUCUUGUAAUUGGAAUGAUGGGAAUUUAAACCUCUUCCAGAGUAUCAAUUGGAGGGCAAGUCUGGUGCCAGCAGCCGCGGUAAUUCCAGCUCCAAUAGCGUAUAUUAAAAUUGUUGCAGUUAAAAAGCUCGUAGUUGAAUUUCUGCUGCAUUUCAUUUCUCUUUCUGAGUUUGUUUUUGCGGCUUAUUUCGGUUUGAUUUUUUCUUUCCGGAUGAUUACUUUGAGAAAAUUAGAGUGCUCAAAGCAGGCUUUUGCCUUGAAUAGUUUAGCAUGGAAUAAUAAAGUAGGACUUUGGUUCUAUUUUGUUGGUUUUAGGUACCAAAGUAAUGGUUAAUAGGAACAGUUGGGGGCAUUCGUAUUUA
rnacentral:rRNA from 1 species